rnacentral:tRNA from 1 species
GGGUAAGUAGCCUAAGUUAAGGUAUGACAUUGAAGCUGUUAGGAUGGCUUGAAAUUAAGCCCUAACCCA